rnacentral:rRNA from 1 species
AGGUUGAUUCUGCCUGACGUGUGUGCUAGUGUCCCAGAUUUAGCCAUGCAAGCCAGCGAAGCGAGAGUGGAGCGGCGGACAGCUCAGUAAUACAGUUAUGAUUUGACCGAAUUUAGUGGAUAACCGUGGGAAACUACGGCUAAGACAUUUUACGGCGCGCGGUGAGCGGGCGUAGCGGGUAAGUUUCUGGCCUAUCAGCUUGAAGGUAGGGUAACGGCCUACGUUGGCGACGACGGGUGACGGGGGAUGAGAGUGUGAUUCCGGAGAGGGAGGCUGAGAAACGGCUCCCAGGUCUAAGGACGGCAGCAGGCGCGAAACUUACCCAAUCGCUUUCGGGGGAGGUAGUGAGGACGUGUGCAGAUUUCUGCCGAACGCGACGGUAAAUUUGUUGUGUGGGACUGGAGGGCAAGUCUGGUGCCAGCAGCCGCGGUAAUUCCAGCUCCAGGAGCGCACAUAUUUGUUGCUGCAGUUAAAAGGUCCGUAGUCAGCCCUGUGUGGACUGUGAGUAAAGCGCGGUGCUCAAGGCUGCGAGUUAGCAUGGUCGCUGGGGAGAUAGGAACAGUGGAUGGCGAUUGGAUUCGGCAGCGAGAGGUGAAAAUUGUAGACCUGCCGAGGACGGUCAGAAGCGGAGGCGAUUGCCAAGGAUGUAUCCGUUGAUCAAGGACGAGAGCCGGAGGAUCGAAGAUGAUUAGAUACCGUUGUAGUUCCGGUAGUAAACGAUGCCGACCAGGCGUGGUGGAUGCUGUGCCUUAGGAGAAAUCAAGAGUGUGUGGGCUCUGGGGAUAGUACGGUCGCAAGACAGAAACUUAAAGAAAUUGACGGAAGGACACCACAAGGAGUGGAGUGUGCGGCUUAAUUUGACCCAACGCGGGGGAACUUACCGGGGCCGAGGUGCGAGUGAUUGCUUGGUGUAAGCCAUGCGAGAUUGUGCCAUGGGUGGUGCAUGGCCGUUUGCAACACGUGGGGUGACCAGUCAGGUUGAAUCCGACAACGCGUGAGGCCGGCGGUGCCAGGUUUGGUGCGACGGGUGCUGGCAAGGCGCAGGAAGGCCGGCGAUAACAGGUCAGUGAUGCCCUCAGAUGUUCCGGGCUGCACGCGCACUACAAUGGUUUAGGGAGAGUGAUAAUUGAGAGGUUAUUUUCGAGUCUAAGCCAGUUGGGACGGGCCGCUGUAGGGGGCCCCGAACGAGGAAUUCCUAGUAGCCGCGGGUCAUCAAGCUGCGGCGAAUGAGUCCCUGUUCUUUGUACACACCGCCCGUCACUAUCUAAGAUGGAUGUGCGGGCGAAAUGGCUGGACCUGCGUGAGUGGGGAAGGCAGUUGAGCCUGUUCAACUAGAUAAGAUGUAAGUCGUAACAAGGCU